UACGUAGGGGGCAAGCGUUGUCCGGAUUUAUUGGGCGUAAAGAGCGUGUAGGCGGUUUGGUAGGUCCGUUGUGAAAACUCGAGGCUCAACCUCGAGAUGUCGGCGGAAACUGUCUGGCUAGAGUCCGGAAGAGGAGAGUGGAAUUCCUGGUGUAGCGGUGAAAUGCGCAGAUAUCAGGAAGAACACCUAUGGCGAAGGCAGCUCUCUGGGACGGUACUGACGCUGAGACGCGAAAGCGUGGGGAGCGAACAGG
rnacentral:rRNA from 1 species